GGCAAAUAAGCAUGCUAACAAGAAUGCAUAAGGAAGUACCAAUGAUGAUGGUAGAUAGUCUUUGAUAAGCCAAUUCAAACAAUUGAUCAACACGAUAACCAGAGACAGCAACCAGGCUGAAAGUGAGGAUAAAGAUCAUGGCACCAUAAUCGAACAAAUGCUUCACAGAGGGAAUAAAUCUAGAGAAGGUUGCUGCAGAAGCUAGUAAGAAAACUGAGGUUCCAAC
rnacentral:misc_RNA from 1 species